GAUGAACGCUAGCUACAGGCUUAACACAUGCAAGUCGAGGGGCAGCAUGGUCUUAGCUUGCUAAGGCCGAUGGCGACCGGCGCACGGGUGAGUAACGCGUAUCCAACCUGCCUUACACUCUUGGACAGCCUUCUGAAAGGGAGAUUAAUACAAGAUGUUAUCAUGAGUAAGCAUUUUCGCAUGAUUAAAGGUUUACCGGUGUAAGAUGGGGAUGCGUUCCAUUAGAUAGUAGGCGGGGUAACGGCCCACCUAGUCUUCGAUGGAUAGGGGUUCUGAGAGGAAGGUCCCCCACAUUGGAACUGAGACACGGUCCAAACUCCUACGGGAGGCAGCAGUGAGGAAUAUUGGUCAAUGGACGAGAGUCUGAACCAGCCAAGUAGCGUGAAGGAUGAAGGUUCUAUGGAUUGUAAACUUCUUUUAUACGGGAAUAAACGAAUCCACGUGUGGAUUUUUGCAUGUACCGUAUGAAUAAGGAUCGGCUAACUCCGUGCCAGCAGCCGCGGUAAUACGGAGGAUCCGAGCGUUAUCCGGAUUUAUUGGGUUUAAAGGGAGCGUAGAUGGGUUGUUAAGUCAGUUGUGAAAGUUUGCGGCUCAACCGUAAAAUUGCAAUUGAUACUGGCAGUCUUGAGUACAGUUGAGGUAGGCGGAAUUCGUGGUGUAGCGGUGAAAUGCUUAGAUAUCACGAAGAACUCCGAUUGCGAAGGCAGCUUACUAACCUGUAACUGACAUUGAUGCUCGAAAGUGUGGGUAUCAAACAGGAUUAGAUACCCUGGUAGUCCACACGGUAAACGAUGAAUACUCGCUGUAGGCGAUAUACAGUCUGCGGCCAAGCGAAAGCAUUAAGUAUUCCACCUGGGGAGUACGCCGGCAACGGUGAAACUCAAAGGAAUUGACGGGGGCCCGCACAAGCGGAGGAACAUGUGGUUUAAUUCGAUGAUACGCGAGGAACCUUACCCGGGCUUAAAUUGCAACCGAAUAUGGCGGAAACGCUAUAGCUAGCAAUAGCGGUUGUGAAGGUGCUGCAUGGUUGUCGUCAGCUCGUGCCGUGAGGUGUCGGCUUAAGUGCCAUAACGAGCGCAACCCUUGCCGAUAGUUACUAACAGGUCAUGCUGAGGACUCUGUCGGGACUGCCAUCGUAAGAUGUGAGGAAGGUGGGGAUGACGUCAAAUCAGCACGGCCCUUACGUCCGGGGCUACACACGUGUUACAAUGGGGGGUACAGAGGGCUGCUACCACGCAAGUGGAUGCCAAUCCCAAAAACCUCUCUCAGUUCGGAUUGAAGUCUGCAACCCGACUUCAUGAAGCUGGAUUCGCUAGUAAUCGCGCAUCAGCCACGGCGCGGUGAAUACGUUCCCGGGCCUUGUACACACCGCCCGUCAAGCCAUGGGAGCCGGGGGUACCUGAAGUGCGUAACCGCAAGGAGCGCCCUAGGGUAAAACUGGUGACUGGGGCUAA
rnacentral:rRNA from 1 species